rnacentral:rRNA from 1 species
GACAGAGGCCCCAAGCGUUAGGCGGAAUCACUGGGCUUAAAGCGUGUGUAGGCGGAUCGUUAAGUGUCUUGUGAAAUCCCACGGCUCACCCGUGGAACGGCUGGGCAUACUGGCGAUCUUGGGCCAACUAGGGGCAGUCGGAACAAGCGGUGGAGCGGUGAAAUGCGUAGAUAUCGCUUGGAACGCCGAAGGUGAAAACAGGCUGCUGGGGUUGCGCCGACGCUGAACGACAGAAAGCCCAGGGGAGCAAACGGG